rnacentral:misc_RNA from 1 species
UGCCCCUGUUAACGCGCGCGCAUGUGUAGAUGGGAAUUUGAGCACCAGUAAUGACAAAGCAAAUUCCAAUUCAGUAUCAAAGGACCAGCACACACCAUAUCCACCUCAGGGUCACAGAAAAGGAUCUUAUGAGCUAGAUAGCCAUCUGUGAAACUGCUGUACUCUUUUUGAAAUAUUUGCCUGGUCAUGGCAUGAACUGCUCUGUUGCAAAGUUUUCCUUCUCCUUUUGGUUUGGAACAAAAAAUCUUCCGUAUCUAAAACGUAGGAUACUUUGGAGGAAUUGCAUGCAAU